ACAGAGGUGGCAAGCGUUGUUCGGAUUUACUGGGCGUAAAGGGUGCGUAGGUGGUUCCGUAUGUCGGGUGUGAAAGCCCACCGUUCAUCGGUGGAAUUGCAUUCGAAACUGCGGGACUAGAGUACGGUAGAGGAGAGCGGAAUUCAUGGUGUAGCGGUGAAAUGCGUGGUUAUCAGGAAGAACACCCGUGGCGAAAGCGGCUCUCUGGAACGGUACUGACGCUGAGACGCGAAAGCGUGGGGAGCGAACA
rnacentral:rRNA from 1 species